GCUUCAAUGGUCAAGCUGGUUAAGACAUUCUUUUCAGAAAGUUAAGAGGUCCCAGGUUCGAAUCCUAGCUGAGGUA
rfam:Atta cephalotes unplaced genomic scaffold scaffold00026, whole genome shotgun sequence.